AGAGUUUGAUCCUGGCUCAGAGCGAACGCUGGCGGCGUGCCUAACACAUGCAAGUCGAACGUGAACGGGGCAACCCUAGUAAAGUGGCGUACGGGUGAGAAACGCGUAGGUAAUCUACCUAAGAGUCUGGAAUAACCGGCCGAAAGGCUGGCUAAUACUGGAUAGAGCGAUCGGAUUCGUAAUGGGAUCCAUCGGGAAAGGGAGCUCGUAAGAGCCUUCGCUUUUAGAUGAGCCUGCGUCUCAUUAGCUAGUUGGUGAGGUAAUGGCUCGCCAAGGCUUUGAUGGGUAGCUGGUCUGAGAGGAUGAUCAGCCACACUGGAACUGAAACACGGUCCAGACUCCUACGGGAGGCAGCAGUGGGGAAUCUUGCGCAAUGGACGAAAGUCUGACGCAGCCACGCCGCGUGAGUGAAGAAGGCCUUCGGGUUGUAAA
rnacentral:rRNA from 1 species